UACGGAGGGUGCAAGCGUUGCUCGGAAUUAUUGGGCGUAAAGCGCACGUAGGCGGACCAUCAAGUCGGUUGUGAAAUCCCUCGGCUUAACCGAGGACGUGCAUUCGAAACUGAUGGCCUUGAGUACUAAAGAGGAUCGCGGAAUUCCCGGUGUAGAGGUGAAAUUCGUAGAUAUCGGGAGGAACACCAGUGGCGAAGGCGGCGAUCUGGGUAGAUACUGACGCUGAGGUGCGAAAGCGUGGGGAGCAAACAGG
rnacentral:rRNA from 1 species